AAACUAGCCUGCAGUCGACGAUUCCUACGGGAGGCAGCAGUGGGGAAUAUUGCACAAUGGGCGGAAGCCUGAUGCAGCAACGCCGCGUGCGGGAUGACGGCCUUCGGGUUGUAAACCGCUUUCGCCUGUGACGAAGCGUGAGUGACGGUAAUGGGUAAAGAAGCACCGGCUAACUACGUGCCAGCAGCCGCGGUGAUACGUAGGGUGCGAGCGUUGUCCGGAUUUAUUGGGCGUAAAGGGCUCGUAGGUGGUUGAUCGCGUCGGAAGUGUAAUCUUGGGGCUUAACCCUGAGCGUGCUUUCGAUACGGGUUGACUUGAGGAAGGUAGGGGAGAAUGGAAUUCCUGGUGGAGCGGUGGAAUGCGCAGAUAUCAGGAGGAACACCAGUGGCGAAGGCGGUUCUCUGGGCCUUUCCUGACGCUGAGGAGCGAAAGCGUGGGGAGCGAACAGGCUUAGAUACCCUGGUAGUCCACGCUGUAAACGGUGGGUACUAGGUGUGGGGUCCAUUCCACGGGUUCCGUGCCGUAGCUAACGCUUUAAGUACCCCGCCUGGGGAGUACGGCCGCAAGGCUAAAACUCAAAGGAAUUGACGG
rnacentral:rRNA from 1 species